rnacentral:rRNA from 1 species
GAGUUUGCUCCUGGCUCAGGAUGAACGCUGGCGGCGUGCUUAACACAUGCAAGUCGAACGAACCUUCGGGUUAGUGGCGGACGGGUGAGUAACGCGUGAGAAUCUGCCCUCAGGAGGGGGAUAACGGUUGGAAACGACCGCUAAUACCCCAUAUGCCUACUGGUGAAAUGAAUUUCGCCUGAGGAUGAGCUCGCGUCUGAUUAGCUAGUUGGUGAGGUAAUGGCUCACCAAGGCUUCGAUCAGUAGCUGGUCUGAGAGGAUGAUCAGCCACACUGGGACUGAGACACGGCCCAGACUCCUACGGGAGGCAGCAGUGGGGAAUUUUCCGCAAUGGGCGAAAGCCUGACGGAGCAACGCCGCGUGAGGGACGAAGGCCUCUGGGCUGUAAACCUCUUUUCUCAAGCCCCCCCCAUAUGACGGUACUUGAGGAAUAAGCCACGGCUAAUUCCGUGCCAGCAGCCGCGGUAAUACGGGAGUGGCAAGCGUUAUCCGGAAUUAUUGGGCGUAAAGCGUCCGCAGGCGGCUUUUCAAGUCUGCUGUUAAAGCGUGGAGCUUAACUCCAUCAUGGCAGUGGAAACUGAAAGGCUUGAGUAUGGUAGGGGCAGAGGGAAUUCCCGGUGUAGCGGUGAAAUGCGUAGAUAUCGGGAAGAACACCAGUGGCGAAGGCGCUCUGCUGGGCCAUUACUGACGCUCAUGGACGAAAGCCAGGGGAGCGAAAGGGAUUAGAUACCCCUGUAGUCCUGGCCGUAAACGAUGAACACUAGGUGUCGGGGGAAUCGACCCCUUCGGUGUCGUAGCUAACGCGUUAAGUGUUCCGCCUGGGGAGUACGCACGCAAGUGUGAAACUCAAGGAAUUGACGGGGGCCCGCACAAGCGGUGGAGUAUGUGGUUUAAUUCGAUGCAACGCGAAGAACCUUACCAGGGUUUGACAUCUUAGGUACUUCUUAGAAAUUUGAGGGUGCAUUCUGUAAUGCAGUGACAGGUGGUGCAUGGGCGUCGUCAGUUCGUUUCUUGAGAUGUUGGGUUAAGUCCCGCAACGAGCGCAACCCACGUUUUUAGUUGCCAGUCAUUAGUUGGGCAAUGGAGAGAGACCGCCGGUGAUAAACCGGAGGAAGGUGCGGAUGACGUCAAGUCAUCAUGCCCCUUCCACCCUGGGCUACACACGUCAUACAAUGCUACGGACAAAGGGCAGCAAACUAGCGAGAGCUAGCAAAUCCCAUAAACCGUGGCUCAGUUCAGAUCGUAGGAUUCAACUCGCCUACGUCAAGUAGGAAUCAUUUGUAAUCGCAGGUCAGCAUCAUGCGGCGAAUACGUUCCCCGCCCUUGUACACACCGCCCGUCACACCAUGGAAGUUCCCCACGCCCGAAGUCGUUACUCCAACCCUUGUGGAGGAGGACGCCGAAGGGGCGGGUAAUGACUGGGGUGAAGUCGUAACAAGGUA